UGGACUUAUGGAGACACAGACACCUUUGUUUCAACACCUGGCCACAAGGCCCCCCAAAAGCUUCUAUAAACAAAAGGGCUGACAGACCUAGCUCAUCCGGUAGGCCCAGAUCUUCCUUGCCCGGGGUGCCAUGCAGGCAACCCACCCCGGGCUAGGGCAGUGGAGGCUUGAUGACCAGGUGAGCUUGGGAGUCCCUGGGCAGAGGCAGGUCUCAGUCCCAGGGCCUUGGGUCUGCUGCUGGGUGUGAUGAGUUAAUAAGGAGGGCAUGGUGUGCAGAAUGAGCUCGGGUCCUGGCCAUGGGACAUCUGGCCAGCACUGUGCCCCUUGGAGCCCAUCUUUCCAUGGGAUCAUUAGAGUCCUUCUCUUGCAGCUGUUGGGAGAAUGAAACACAAGGAAAGCCCAGGACCAGUACCAGGCACAGGGUCAGUGGCGACAGGUGAGACCACUCCAUGUCCCCAGACACAUCUGUCCUCUGAGCCUUUCACCUUGGGCUUGCCACUGGACUAUCUCUCAAGUAGAAGGGGCUAUGGGCGCCCCUCCCUGGUGGUCAGCAGUGGGGUGACCACCUCCUAAGGCAGUGAGUUCCCCAUCAAUGCGCGUGGCGGUUACUGAAGUGGGGCUGGGGCUGGAGCUGAGCCUGCUGGCUGGGAGAGGGGAAGGCUGCAGUGGCUGGGGAGCCAGGUCCAACCCAGCAGCCUGGUGGCCCCUUCCCACUCUCAGGGAAUAUCCCACACCUUCCCUGAGCACUGCCUCUGGGCCAGGCCCUGCUGGGAAGGGAGCUGGUUCUCACCACUUGGAUUUAACACAUGUGAACAUUUGCCAUGCUUCAGAUCCUCCUUUUAAAACAAAAUUGUAUGACACAGCAAUUGAUGAACGGAUCAUCAGUACAAUGGACUGUUAUUCAGUCGCAGACAGGAAUGAUGUGUGGACUUGCCAUGGUGUGCAUGAGCCUCGAAGACAUGAUGCUGAGUGAAGGAAUCAGACACAAAAUGCUGCAGAUUGUCUGAUCCCAUGUAUUGAAAUGUCCAGCUCAGGCAAAUCCGUGGAGACAGAAAGCAGGCGAGUGUCUACCAGGGGCUGCGGGGAGGGGAUGGGGAGUGACCACUUAGUGGGUACAGGGCUUCCUUUUGGGGUGAAGAAAAUCUUUUAAACUUAGGUCAUGGUGAUGGAUGCACAA
rnacentral:lncRNA from 1 species